rnacentral:rRNA from 1 species
GACGAACGCUGGCGGCGUGCCUAAUACAUGCAAGUUGAGCGCUGAAGGUUGGUACUUGUACCAACUGGAUGAGCAGCGAACGGGUGAGUAACGCGUGGGGAAUCUGCCUUUGAGCGGGGGACAACAUUUGGAAACGAAUGCUAAUACCGCAUAAAAACUUUAAACACAAGUUUUAAGUUUGAAAGAUGCAAUUGCAUCACUCAAAGAUGAUCCCGCGUUGUAUUAGCUAGUUGGUGAGGUAAAGGCGCACCAAGGCGAUGAUACAUAGCCGACCUGAGAAGGUGGUCGGCCACAAUGGGACUGAGACACGGCCCAAACUCCUACGGGAGGCAACAGGAGGGAAUCUUCGGCAAUUGACGAAAGGCUGACCGGGCAACGCCGCGGGGGUGAAGAAGGUUUUCGGAUCGUAAAACUCUGUUGGUAGAGAAGAACGUUGGUGAGAGUGGAAAGCUCAUCAAGUGACGGUAACUACCCAGAAAGGGACGGCUAACUACGUG